GACAGAGGGUGCAAACGUUGCUCGGAAUCACUGGGCGUAAAGGGUGCGUAGGCGGGUCUUUUAAGUCAGGGGUGAAAUCCUGGAGCUCAACUCCAGAACUGCCUUUGAUACUGAAGAUCUUGAGUUCGGGAGAGGUGAGUGGAACUGCGAGUGUAGAGGUGAAAUUCGUAGAUAUUCGCAAGAACACCAGUGGCGAAGGCGGCUCACUGGCCCGAUACUGACGCUGAGGCACGAAAGCGUGGGGAGCAAACAGGG
rnacentral:rRNA from 1 species